GACGAACGCUGGCGGCGUGCUUAACACAUGCAAGUCGAACGGAAAGGCCCUGCUUUUGUGGGGUGCUCGAGUGGCGAACGGGUGAGUAACACGUGAGUAACCUGCCCUUGACUUUGGGAUAACUUCAGGAAACUGGGGCUAAUACCGGAUAGGAGCUCCUGCUGCAUGGUGGUGGUUGGAAAGUUUCGGCGGUUGGGGAUGGACUCGCGGCUUAUCAGCUUGUUGGUGGGGUAGUGGCUUACCAAGGCUUUGACGGGUAGCCGGCCUGAGAGGGUGACCGGCCACAUUGGGACUGAGAUACGGCCCAGACUCCUACGGGAGGCAGCAGUGGGGAAUAUUGCACAAUGGGCGGAAGCCUGAUGCAGCAACGCCGCGUGCGGGAUGACGGCCUUCGGGUUGUAAGCAGCUUUCGCCUGUGACGAAGCGUGAGUGACGGUAAUGGGUAAAGAAGCACCGGCUAACUACGUG
rnacentral:rRNA from 1 species